rnacentral:rRNA from 1 species
GACGGACGCUGGCGGCGUGCUUAACACAUGCAAGUCGAGCGAUGAAGCCCCUUCGGGGAUGGAUUAGCGGCGGACGGGUGAGUAACACGUGGGUAACCUGCCUCAAAGAGGGGGAUAGCCUCCCGAAAGGGAGAUUAAUACCGCAUAACAUUAGUUUUUCGCAUGGAGAACUAAUUAAAGGAGUAAUCCGCGUUGAGAUGGACCCGCGGCGCAUUAGGUAGUUGGUGAGGUAACGGCUCACCAAGGCGACGAUGCGUAGCCGACCUGAGAGGGUGAGCGGCCACAUUGGAACUGAGACACGGUCCAGACUCCUACGGGAGGAAGCAGUGGGGAAUAUUGCACAAUGGGCGAAAGCCUGAUGCAGCAACGCCGCGUGAGUGAUGAAGGCCUUCGGGUUGUAAAGCUCUGUCUUUUGGGACGAUAAUGACGGUACCAAAGGAGGAAGCCACGGCUAACUACGUGCCAGCCGCCGCCGUAA